UGAUAAUUGAGUAUUGCAGUCAUGAUCAGGGAGGUCCUAUCAAAGGUUUUACGGUCUUUUGGGAGAAAGAUUUUGCCACCUGGAGGAGAAGUGGGUAGAGAACUUUGAUUCUGCCUUUCAAGAACAAUAUGCUACUGUACACAGAUUAGAAACUAACAAACUCCGAAAUACUUCAAAGUUUUUUGUGCAAUUAUUUUAUACUGACGCAUUGCCUUGGACCUGCCACUCUUGUAUUCAUUUAAAUGAAAAAGAAACGAACUCCUCAAGUCGUAUAUUUAUGAAAAUUUUAUUUCAAGAGAUCGCUGACUACUUGGGAUUAAAGAAACUAAACAAACGAUUGAAAGAUCCAACUCUCUCAGCUUUUUUGAUGGCAUAAUGCCAAAAGAUAAUAUCACAAAUAUGAAAUUCUGCAUUAAUUUCUUCACUUCGAUAGGACUGGGAGGAUUAAUUGAUGGCUUGAGAGCACUCAGAGUAAAUGGACCAAAGAACAUUAUUCAGGCUGAUUCUGAUUCAAGCUCUGAUAACAACAGCUCUGAAGAGUCUACACUAUCAAU